rnacentral:rRNA from 1 species
AUUGAACGCUGGCGGCAUGCCUUACACAUGCAAGUCGAACGGUAACGGGCCUUCGGGUGCCGACGAGUGGCGAACGGGUGAGUAAUACAUCGGAACGUGCCCGAUCGUGGGGGAUAACGAGGCGAAAGCUUUGCUAAUACCGCAUACGAUCUACGGAUGAAAGCAGGGGACCGCAAGGCCUUGCGCGGACGGAGCGGCCGAUGGCAGAUUAGGUAGUUGGUGGGAUAAAAGCUUACCAAGCCGACGAUCUGUAGCUGGUCUGAGAGGAUGAUCAGCCACACUGGGACUGAGACACGGCCCAGACUCCUACGGGAGGCAGCAGUGGGGAAUUUUGGACAAAGGGCGCAAGCCCGAUCCAGCCAUGCCGCGUGCAGGAUGAAGGCCUUCGGGUUGUAAACUGCUUUUGUACGGAACGAAAAGCCUUCUUUUAAUACAGGAGGGUCAUGACGGUACCGUAAGAAUAAGCACCGGCUAACUACGUG